rnacentral:rRNA from 1 species
GGUAGCUGUCUAGUUAGCAUCUAUACCGUGAAACUGCGAAUGGCUCAUUAAAUCAGUUAUCGUUUAUUUGAUAGUACCUUACUACUUGGAUAACCGUGGUAAUUCUAGAGCUAAUACAUGCUAAAAACCUCGACUUCGGAAGGGGUGUAUUUAUUAGAUAAAAAACCAAUGCCCUUCGGGGCUCCUUGGUGAUUCAUAAUAACUUAACGAAUCGCAUGGCCUUGUGCCGGCGAUGGUUCAUUCAAAUUUCUGCCCUAUCAACUUUCGAUUGUAGAGUAGUGGUCUACAAUGGUUUCAACGGGUAACGGGGAAUUAGGGUUCUAUUCCGGAGAGGGAGCCUGAGAAACGGCUACCACAUCCAAGGAAGGCAGCAGGCGCGCAAAUUACCCAAUCCCGACACGGGGAGGUAGUGACAAUAAAUACUGAUACAGGGCUCUUUUGGGUCUUGUAAUUGGAAUGAGUACAAUUUAAAUCCCUUAACGAGGAACAAUUGGAGGGCAAGUCUGGUGCCAGCAGCCGCGGUAAUUCCAGCUCCAAUAGCGUAUAUUAAAGUUGUUGCAGUUAAAAAGCUCGUAGUUGAACCUUGGGCCUGGCUGGCCGGUCCGCCUCACCGCGUGCACUGGUCCGGCCGGGUCUUUCCUUCUGAGGAGCCGCAUGCCCUUCACUGGGUGUGUCGGGGAAUCAGGACUUUUACUUUGAAAAAAUUAGAGUGUUCAAAGCAGGCCUAUGCUCGAAUACAUUAGCAUGGAAUAAUAGAAUAGGACGUGUGGUUCUAUUUUGUUGGUUUCUAGGACCGCCGUAAUGAUUAAUAGGGAUAGUCGGGGGCAUCAGUAUUCAAUUGUCAGAGGUGAAAUUCUUGGAUUUAUUGAAGACUAACUACUGCGAAAGCAUUUGCCAAGGAUGUUUUCAUUAAUCAGUGAACGAAAGUUAGGGGAUCGAAGACGAUCAGAUACCGUCGUAGUCUUAACCAUAAACUAUGCCGACUAGGGAUCGGGCGAUGUUAUCUUUUUGACUCGCUACGGCACCUUACGAGAAAUCAAAGUCUUUGGGUCUGGGGGAGUACGCCACGC